rnacentral:tRNA from 1 species
UUAAGGUGGCGGGUUGUAGCCCUGUUGAUGCGGGUUUNAUUCCUGUUUCUAUCA